UACGUAGGGUGCAAGCGUUGUCCGGAAUUAUUGGGCGUAAAGAGCUCGUAGGCGGUCUGUUGCGUCGGCUGUGAAAACCCGGGGCUCAACUCCGGGCCUGCAGCCGAUACGGGCAGACUAGAGUUCGGCAGGGGAGACUGGAAUUCCUGGUGUAGCGGUGAAAUGCGCAGAUAUCAGGAGGAACACCUAUGGCGAAGGCAGCUCGCUGGGACGUUACUGACGCUGAGACGCGAAAGCGUGGGGAGCAAACAGG
rnacentral:rRNA from 1 species